GGCACCAGUACUGCGAGUGAAGGGGAGAGCCCAGCACCGAAGCCUCUGUCGCUAUUCGGCGGUUGUGCGUUGUGGUGUAUGGGAGGGUCCGUUCCAGCGAAGCGCCUGGCGUUUAAGUCCCCCUGACUGGGGCCACCACCCUCGGAGGGUGCAAGGCCUGUGUGGCUCGGAACGUUGUCCAUCCUUCGCUGGUCGAACCUUUCCCGGGAGUCGGGUUGCUUGAGAGUGCAGCCCUAAGCAGGUGGUAAACUCCAUCUAAGGCUAAAUACUCGACACGAGACCGAUAGCAAACAAGUACCGUGAGGGAAAGUUGCAAAGAACUUUGAAGAGAGAGUUCAAGAGUGCGUGAAACCGUUCGGAGGCAAACGGAUGGGACCUCGAAGGUCGAACGGAUGGGGUGGGAUUCAACCCGCCGCCGGCUCCUCCUCGGAACACAUGCCGAGCUUACCGAGGGCGUUCGUCGACCGAGGAAAGCCGCGUGCGAUCCGCAGCGAGGGUCCUCAGGUGGCGGGUGCACUUCCCGCUAUCCCCCUUCCUAGUAGGACGCUGCGACCGGUCGGAAUUGCUCGAUUUCGAACGCACACGGGAGACCAGGAACGGUGCCGACGGUAGCUGCACGGCGUAAGCCGACUCCCUCCGGGGGUCGCGGCCGCUUGUCUGGCCAGUGCACCGUGGAAGUCUCUCGCUCCGACCGAGGACCGAGCGAGGCCUGCUUUCUGCGGGCCGAGCCGUGACGUACCCCGCGCUUGCCGCACGGGCAGACAGAGCCCACCGGGUGGCGGGAGCGUGUCGAGCGUCGUGAGCCCAGUUGCUCUCCGCUCGUUCGUGCUCUCCGCCUGCCGGCAGUGAAGGGCGCAGGCUCCCGACUUUUGUACGGGGUGGCCGAGGGUUCGGCAGCGAGUAGGUUGGUAACCCAUCCGACCCGUCUUGAAACACGGACCAAGGAGUCUAACAUGCUUGCGAGUCUUCGGGGGCUCGACAAACCCCAAGAAGGCGUAAUGAAAGUGAAGGCAGACCUCGAAAGAGGCUCAGCCCAGGCGGGAUCCUCUGGGCAGGCGACUGUCUGGAGGCGCACCGCUGGCCCGUCCAACGGCUGCAUCGCAGCCGGGCGGAGCGAGAGCA
rnacentral:rRNA from 1 species